ACUCGCAGCGCUGCGACGGCGCUCGGGACCUCCCUCGUCCACUGCUUGAGUUCCAGAGCGCCAGAGACCCAAGUUGAGGAACAGCCUAUAAAAUAACUGGCCUGUACUCUUACAUACAUGAAAGCCAUCAAAGACAAAGACUGAAGAAGAACUUUUGCAGAUUAAAGGACUUUAAGAGACAUGAUCCUGAACCAGAAAAAGUAAAAAAUAAAAAAAUAAAAAGAUCUGUAGAUUAGAUAAUAGUUUUAUAUCCAUGUUAAUUUCCCAUUUGUUGUAAUAUUACUGUGGUUGGGCAAGAGAGUGUCUUUGUUGGUGGAAGUAUCUACUGAAGUAUUUAGGGGUAAAGAGGAAUCAUGUCUGUAACUUAUGCUCAAAAGGUUCAGACAAAAUAUAUGUAAAGGGAAU
rnacentral:lncRNA from 1 species